CGUCGCCCUCCGUGCACACGGGCAGACACCGAGGCGCGCGCGCCCGGGCGUUGGGUCUUGGCUGUCGUCGCUGCUGCGUUCUGUAUAUCGGGAAAUGGUAGGCAGGCGCUCAAUACACGUUUGCAGAACAAAUGAAAAAAAUGACCUUUCAUAUGGGCUGUAGAUGCCACCCUUUCUCCAGUCACCCAGGAGAAAGCGCUCACCCCAAAGCUCUGUAUCCAGCCAAGCCCGCGCCCACCUUCCAGCAACUACCCGGACACAGGAGGCAAAUUCAUGGUGCUGGAGGCCCUAGCGCGCCCAGGCGGGCUGCGCCCGGACUGCAUUUCGUUUGCAGCUCCCUCGGAGGGCUCGGAGAGCGCAGCGCUAUUCUGACAUCCAAGUUCCGCGAAGUCAUGGCCCCAUUGCUGUUGAAACCCUGUGUCCUUUUCCCCCCGAGGUGGCGGCUGGGCUGUGCCCGGCAUUGAGACCUGGGAAGUGCCCCCCGGCUCCCACGUUUUCUGCUCACCGAAAUACUGGACGCAUCUCCUUAGCUUACGCUGCUUUAUCACAGUCCUUUUAACAGCGUUUCAGAAAAACACGUGUAAUUUUAACCUGUGAAAAUUAGAGUAGGACCUUCCCCCAGGGCUUGCGUGAAGAAUACGAGAUAUAAUGCCGGUUACAGAAACGUUGUGAACUUUUACGAAAUGAUAUUAUGAUUGCUGUAUUAAAUUCUAAAGAAAUUCUAUUUGGCCUCAGCUGACUUUGUAAUAUUAACUGACAAGUUUCAAUGUUUCACAAGGUGUUUUUAUACACAUUUUCUUUGAUAUUCACGGAGGUUAGUAGGUGUAUUGAAUGAUAGAACAGACAGAUCCACUUCAAAUACGGGGUACAUUUGUUUAACUUCUCUAAACCUCAGCUUUUUAGUCUACGAGAUGAAGAUAAGGGGAGUUGUGCGGAUUAAAUAAAAUGCUCAUGUAAGUGCUUAGUUCAAAUAUUAGCUCAGUGGUGUUAAAUGACCUGCUCACUCUGCAUGGAUGGUUGAUUUAAGUGUAGGAGCAGAACAGACAAAAUUUAUGUUCAUAGUUGACAACUUUGUGGUCGUGUUCCCUCUGACACGAUGGCUGGACCUAUUUAUUUCAAUCCUGUCUAUGUUUUGUGUUCAUAUAGUGUUAUGUGAUCAAGCAAUAAAACUGUCAUUGCA